CUGAUUUUCCCAGCCACUGAAAGGUGUUUACCUUCUCCCUUGGUUUUGGCACAGGAACCUGUAAAACGCAACCCCAAAUUCAGUAAGCUGCUAGAGCAAAACCAAAGAUUAAAGAGUGUCAGCAGGUGUGCUUUAGGGCUUAUAAGGAGGCACAUUUCAUCAGUUCAGUGUUAUACGGCCCGGUAGUGGUGAGACUACUUCUGUAUACAGCUGUGUACAGCUCUGGAGAUGCAGUUCGUUUGAAGAACAGAAGGAAACUUUAGAUGCCAGAUCUUCUCAGCUUAGUAGAAUGGUAAACAAGAGGGAACUUGUUAUAAAUAUGUGGAUUAUAUAUAUACUAGGGUAGGUUGAGGAAGAGCAUUUUUAGUGAAGAACAGAACCCGUGGUGGGAAGAAUUAAUUACAAGCUCUUUGUAGACACCUUUUUCUUACUGGAAAUUAGGUGAAGAUUCUUAACCACUAGAAGAAGAAAGUUCUGAAUCAGCCUCCCAGGAGGGAGAAGUGUGCAGGGAAAUGCUCAGAUAGAAUUCUGUCUGUUUGCAAGAAGUAUUAUAUGAUAUGAUGCAAUCAUAUCAUCACUCACAAGGGCUCUAGGUAUGUCCCUUUGGGGAUGCUGUCUGGCUUAGUUGCUCAUCCAGAGAAUUGAGAUUUUUGUCUGGACUUGAGAAGUGGACGGAAGCAAUGUGAAUCACAAUGCAUGGGGUAAUUGCAGACUGACCACGGAGUAGAAACAGUAGCUGACCUACAGUAAAUAUCAGCUGAGGAAAUGGGUUGAUGGGAACCCCAUGAAGUUCAGCAAAGGCAAAUACCACACUCUCUGUCAGAGGUCCCUCGUGAGGAAUACUAGUGUAGAAAGAAACAGAGGGGAAAACGUGAACAAUGGACCUCUCCUACCCUAAUUGCAAGUACAGCAAGUAUGUCAAGUGUGCAUUUGAGAGACAGAAGACUGCUUUGUAAACAUGAGCAGUGCUCAUGAAACAGACAGAUGAUAGCUGAGAGUCAAUCUGUAGCUAUAUCCAUCUUGAAGAAACCUUAUCUGAUGAAGCGAACCAGCAUAGCCUGUAUCUGUAAUUCUUGAUCAAUAUAUUUUUGUUUUAUCUUCUGCUGAAUGGCCUUGCUGCAUUUUAUAUGAAAUUUGAUUGUAUAAACGGCUUCCACAUUUUGGAAACGCUUCCAGUUUGGGAAUAUAAGUGGAGAAAUGGUUGAUGUCUGGAUUUCUCUCAGAUUAAGUGAAAAGCACCUUCUGAAGUACUGAACUGCUGCAAUCACACCUGGUUUGGCCCUGCCCUAAAACAAGCUUUGGGGUAUGAGAGAGUGCUGAAGUCUACCUGGAGUUCUUAUAGGUUGGUCUCUAGAGGCAGAAUAUCAGACACUUUCUGAAAUUUCAUAGUUUAGGAUUUAGGUGUGUUUUUCCUUCUGAGCAUAAGCAAUUUACUGAAUAUGGUCAGCGUUUUCUUUAUUGGCGUUGUAGAGUGAAGGAUAACUGCUUUGCAAAUCAACUAAAUUAAAACUACUGUAUUAGGAAUACUGCCUUUAAGCAUAAUAACUGUGUAACACAAACUUGGCAGAAAGAUGUUUAAUUUACAGGAAAAAAAGUGAACAGGUUAAAGAAUAUUCAGAUAAGUUAGGUAGAUUCAAGUCAGCAGGGCCUGAUGAAAUUCACCCCAGAGUACUUCAGGAACUAUCUGAAGUGAUCUCUGAACUAUUAGCAGUUAUCUCUGAGAGCUCAUGGAGGAUGGGUGAGGUCCUGGAGGACAGGAGAAAAGCAAACACUGUACCUAUCUUUAAAAAGGGGAAACAGGAAGACCUAGGGAAUUUCAGGCCAGUCAGGUUGACUUUGAUACUGAGAAAAAUGCAAGAGCAAAUUAUUGAACAAUCAAUUUGUAAACACCUAGAGGAAAAUAAGGUGAUAAGAGCCAGCAUGGGUUUGUCAAGAACAAAUCACAUCAAAGCAAUCUAAUUUCCUUCUUUGACAGUGUAACUGGCCCAGUGGAUAAGAGGGAAGCAGCAGAUGUGAUAGAUCUUGACUUCAGUGAGGGCUUUGACACACAUCCACCUGACAUUUUCAUAAGUAAGUCAGAGAAAUAUGCUUUAGAUGAAGUUAUUAUGUGAUGAGUGCAAAACUGUUUGAAAAAUUGGACUUAUUGGUAAAGCAAUUAUCAAUGUUUUGUUGGCAAACUGGGAAAACUGUGGUAUCUCAUCAAAUAAGAUAUCACAGAGGUCUGCCUUAGGUCCAGUAUUAUUCAAUGUUUACAUCUUCGAUGAUGGAAGAUAUAGAAAACUUUUAAAAAUUGCAGGUGAUACUGAACUAGAAGGGCUGCAAACAUUUUAGAGAACAGGAUUUGAAUACAAAAUAAUCUUGAUAAAUUGAAGAAAGAGUCUGAAGCCAAUAAGAUGAAAUUCAAUAUGAACAAGUGUAAGGUAUCACUUCUGAGGAAGGAAACAUCAAAUACACAAAUAUGAAAUGGAAAACAAGAAGUUUGGAAGCAGUUCACAUAAAAGAAGUUUAGCACAUUGCACACAAAAAAAAUAUGUAAUUCAGAAAUACAAAGUUGUGUGAUGGGAUGAAUUAAUGGUUAUGUUGUGAGUAACUGGGAAGCAUCUAUUUCAUUCUGCUCUGGAUAACGAGGCCCAACCUGGGAAUAUUAUGUCUGUGUCCAGUGGUGACAUCACAUUAUGGUAGAUAAUUUUGAAAUCUUUUUCAUUUUGAAAGGAGAAAGAGCAGUGCUUAGAAAGCAGGAAAAGCUGAAAUAAAUGACUCCUUUUGUUUUGGAAAAAAAAAAAAAAUAGGCAUAAUGUAGAUCAGCGAUACAAAAAAAUGUUACUAAAAAUGUGAGAGAGAAAAGGGCACUUACCUGUUCUCCCUCAGUAAAAACGUUGUGAAAAGAAACGGAUAGGCAAAGCUGAAGCCUGAGAUACUCAGAUUAGGUACAAUUCAGAUAGAUUUCUCUGGUUAUGAGAAUGGCACAGCACUGGAACAAGGUUUCUAAAAUACUCCAGAAUCCUUGCUUCAAAUCCUUAAAAUGGGUCAGACAGACAUCUGUCAGUGAUGUGGAACAGAUGUCCUCUUGAGAUCGCUUCUACUUUCACAUUUCUACAAUAAUUCGUACACCUCAGUCAAGAGGAAAACCCACGUGAACCAAAUAAGCAAGAAUUGCUCGCAUGCACAUACAAACAUACAUUUCCUACCAAACCCCCAACCUUUCCCUGAAAAUCUCUUUUCCUAUCAAACAUUUCUGUGCACUUAUCAAACUGAUGUUGUUUCUUCUAGUCCUUUUCACCUGCACGUCCCCCAAAACAGAGAAAAGAGUCACUCAUCACUUCAUUUCUGUAUUAAAGAUUAUGGAGAAAGGCAGAUCUGACGUCUAUCCAAACAACUAAUCCAGUAUGUUGCUUUCUGUGGGCUGACCCUACUAAUGUAUAGAAGCAAGCCUCCGAAGCCAUAAAAGCCUUUUUUGAAACUAUCUGUUGCAAGCUGCCAUAAGAAGUGCUUUGUUCUUUUUCUCUCUGUAUUUUUGAUGAAGCUACAGUUUGAAAAUGACACUUUAUAAAUAUGCCUGCUCCCCUUUAAUGAUAAACUUGGGACAAACUGGAUGAUAUUUUCAUGAGGUUUUAUUGGCAUGAUUUUGAACUGUUUUGUUAUUUAUGGGAGCAUCCUAGACAGACUGCAGCAAACACUCAGCAUCUUCUUGUUAUGUUUACUGUGUGAGCCACAUGCAUCUCAAAAUGUAGUCUUGAAAUAUAUAGUGAGAAAAGGGAGCUUCUUUUAGGGCUGCAGGGCCAGAAAUCUUAGUCAUCAAGUGCUGAUUUGUGUGAAGAUUACAACAGGAAAAAACAGUGUUUUAAAUGACUGAUCUAAACAAGGUACCUGAAAUUUAACUGCAGGGUUUGCACACUGCACUGCAGUGCAUGCGUGCUACCUCAAAAUGACACUCAGAGCAGAAUGUCUUCUCCUGCAUGUGCUUGCCUUUGUGAUCAUACCUGCACGAUAACAAAUUCAGGAAACCUUUUCUUAAAGGUUAUGAGGCUGCGGCUGCAAGUAAAGAAUUGUUUGUCUUGCUUUGUAUCUGGGAUUAUGCCUGUUCCAUCUCCAUGAAACCAAGGAUGUUUAAUUUUGCAUGAAUGGUGGUGGGGCGAGUGUUAUUUGGUUCCUUGGCUUAGAUUUCCUACUAGGUCCGGAGGCUUAGAAAAAGGAAUAUCCUUACUUGGAGAACAGCCAUCUCCCUUUCCAGGCAAACUGACUGGUAGGUGACAGUCUUUGACAAGGGUCCAGUCUCAGUUCCCUGGAAGUAGGUUAGUCAUGUGAGAAGCUUUUCUGUGCAUUCGAAGACACACAAGAUAGUUCUGCUUGAGCCAGGUUCAUGCACAGUGCUAAGGCUAUAUUCAUGUGGUGCAAUGCUUCUUGGAUACCUAUAUGCCAAGGUUAAUAGUGUAACUGACCUUCCUCUUCUCUAUUUUGCUCUGGCCCUGUUCUUAUUCACGUAUGUCUUUAGCACAUAUGCUUUAGCUUUACCUGAGUAUAACAGUCUCCUAUUACCUCCUGCAACUGAGAACUGGUCAAAACUGAGCAUCCCAGGCUCUAUUAAAAUGUCAGCAAGAUUUUACGCACGAGUUAAGUCCCACUUAAGGAGUAUUUUGAGAUUUCACUGUGCAAUGUAAAAAAAUAAAUUUGCAGUUACUGACCCCUCCAUGCAGUCCACAUAGUAUACUUGAUACUUGGGGUGGUAGGAAGAUACACCAUCACUCACACUCAUUAGGAGGUCCACAGCACAUAACUUUUAAGAGGGAAUUUUGGGGUAGAAGGUUUUGGGAGGUCAUUGGUAAUACUGCCAUUAACUUGCCAAUGAGGAGGUAGGACCAUAUUUAGAGCCACUUUUAGUCCUGCUUUCUGUAAUCUAAUAGGUUUUACAUUUUCAUUAGCUAUCACAAAUGAAAGAUUUGUGGUAGUAUGGAACCAAAAUUUUUUUCCUUAUCACUUGCAAAAGAUGCUAUUAAAGAUAAAGUAAAAUAAAACUUCCUGGAUCUAAAUAUAGGCUGGACUAAAUUGGCAGAUUUCAGUAAGCAUGUCUGCUUAGUACUGGACACGGUGCUGAGUGAAUUUUACAUAAGAGGAAAAAAAGCUAAGUAAAAUGAUAGAAAGCCUUGUCUGAACUGCAGCCGAAAACGGAAUAGUUUUCCCUUCUAUGAUACAGGGUUGUAUCUUUCUAUCUCAGCCAACCAGAGAGAUCUUUUUGGAAUACAUAUACCCCUGUCUGAAACACAUCUCCAGCCUGUUCUGUGCUAAAAAAUUUCAAUCACAGAAAGGAAAAGAAAAAAACAAAAAACAAAAAACAAAACCCAAUAACACUCCCAAACUAGCUCAGUUCCUGAGGUUUCUGCAAAGGAUGUAACCUAGAUUCACAGAAUAAUUCUGGUAGGAAGGUGUAACCUCUAGGAAAUCAUCUGCUCAGGUGUUCCUCACACAACAGAUCUAGCACACCCAUCUCCCAUUAUAGAUACCACAUUGCAGAUAUCCUAAUUUGUAAGGGUGAUGUCAGCUAAGAUCAAAGAUCUAUUCUCAUUUCCAGCAUAGGCCAGAAGAGGUUAAGUCAAUUUAUGAAGUCUCUUAAAUGAUCUCACUGAGGCAGAGUUUCUCAUCUAGUGCCCCUCAUCCUAAACCCUCAGUACUAAUUCUGUGUUAUGCCAAAGAGGAGCACACAGGAGUCUGGAUCUGCGCUGCAGCUGGGACAUAAUGUAUCUCUGCCUAUUUCCAGCGCCUUUCCCAGCUCUUUCCCAAAGCUCUGAGGGGACAGAUGGUCUCUUCUGCCCAUUUAUUUGGUUUCCAUGGUGGAAACAAUUACCGCAGCACAAACAAGAAGGGGACACUCAUCCAGACACUGCAAGACUGUUCAUUAGUAAGGCAGCAUCAAUGUGCAUGUGGCAGCCCAAUUUGUGUCUUGCUUGCCAGUGUGGCUUAACUCAAGUAUAUCCUCUGAACUGACAUCAGUGAGAGCAGACAUUCUGUGUUAAGAGGAACAGCCCACCCGUGAUAAAAAUAUAUUAUUGCGGUGAUAUAUUUUAAUGAGAACUUCAGUGUGACCAGCUAGUGUUGUUUGAAAUAAAUUCUAUUAAUAAAGCAGCUGAAUUUGUGGUAUAGCACUAAAUACAGAGAACUAUAAAGUAGCUACGUGAUGUGGGGUCAUCAGUUUAGUGGUCUGACCCUCAUACCUUAUGCAUGUCCCUUAAUUUCCAUGGAGUCUCACCCUCCUUCUGUAGAAUGAGGUUUAGCUCUCCCUCCUCACACCCCAGUGGAAUGUCACAGGGUGCAACCCUCUGGCACUGAGGAGAUAUCUGACAGUGAGGUCUGUAUUAGCACUUCAGGUAGCACUUCUAUUUAGGGGCCAGCAGACUGACAGCUCCUUGCUGUGUGAUACCAUGGUGCUUUGUCUCCUCGUUUUGGUAUGUGCAGUAUCCUACUUGUGCUACAUCUCAGUGAGCUGGAGAAGUGGUGCAAGUCACAGCACUUUCCUUUUCCAUCUGGCCUGCAGCAAUGGAGGGGUGGAGGGGGUUAGGCUUGCUGUGGUGUGACUGUGCUGCAAUGUAUGAAGUCAAGAACCCCACUGAAGAACUUGAAUAGAGAUUUGCAUCAUGUUGGUGAUGUUGCCAAACUUCAUGGUAGAAAUGCUCCAUUUUUGGAAGAUAAACUAUAGAAUACUUUCCACAGGACUGCAAGAAAGCAAGCUUGCUAUGCCUGCAUUCCACGCUUCUCAAUCAACAUCAAUAUCAAACCUCCUCCAGAAUGAAAAGAUUUCACCACUUUUCUUGUUAAAUGUCUUUGUUACGUGUAUUUAGGGUGUGCUAGAUAUUUUCCCUAGUUUAUCAAUGCCUUCAGCCGCUCAGCUCUAAGAAAGGUCAGUAUGGGCUCAUUGCUGAUUCCUUUUAUUUUUUUUCUCUCUGGUGCAUAACACAGGCAGCUAUUCUUGCCAGUCUCUCUCUUUGCCUAAGUACUUAGAAUCCUCCACGGGAACAGGUGAUUAAUGGCAUGUUAAUUGUCUAUGUUUGAGAAUGCACACAGACACACAGAUGCUUACACAGGGAGCUCUUGGUACGUAUGUCUUUCUAAGCAUCAAGUUUUUCCAUACAGAUCUUAUUAUCUGUAACAUAGCCCUUUCUCUCAGUAUUGUAUUUGCACUGGGGUUGAGGCAAUCCCAGUCAUGCACACAGACUGGGAAAAGAACCCAAAGAGAGCAGCUCUGUGGAGAAGAACUUGAGGAUCCUGAUGAAUGGAAGCCUGGACAUGAGCCAGCAGUGCACACUUGCAGCCCCGAAAGCCAACUGUAUCCUAGGCUGCAUCAACGGAGGGAUGACAGCAGGGAGAGGGAGGGGAUUGUCCCCAUCUGCUCUGCUCUCGUGAGGACUCAUCUGCAGUACUGCAUCCAGGCCUGGGGCCCCCAGCAGAAGAAAAACAUGGAGCUGUUGGAGCGGGUCCAGAGAAGAUCAUAAAGAUGAUCAGAGAGCUGGAGCACCUCUCCUGUGAAGAAAGGCUGAGGGAACUUUGCUUGUUCAGCCUGGAGAAGAGAAGGCUCCAGGGAGACUUCAUCAAGGCUUUCCAGUACUUAAAGGGAACUUAUAAACUGAUUUUUUACAUAGCCUGGUGGUGAUAGAACAAGGGGCAGUGGCUUUAAAACAGAUGAGAUUUAAGUUAGAUGUCAGCAGGAAUUUCUUUACUCAGAGGGCAGUGAGGCCCUGGCACAGCUGCUCCGAGAAGCUGUGGUGCCCCAUCCCUGGAGGCACCCGAGGCCUGGUUGGAUGAGGCCCUGGUGGAAGGUAGCCCUGCCCACAGCAUAGGCUGGGACUGCGUGGGCUUUGAGGUUCCUUCCAACUCAAGUAAUUCUAUCACUCUAUGAUUCUAUGAUAUAUUUGUUGUCUGUCUUGACACAUGACUGUAUGAAUACUGUCUUUACUUUCUAAGUCAUGAUUAAUUUAAAAAUUUCUCAGUUUUCUCACUGUACUUUUUUUUCUUUUCUGAGCCUAAUUACUAAGAGAUGUGAGCAUAUAAAUAUAAAACGUAUGAGUUGUUUGUUGUUGGUGGUGGUGGUGGGUUUUUUUUUUGCAAUAAAUCUGAUCAUUAUUUAUAUUGCUUCUCAGUAUCUCUCCCCUAAGCUAUCCUGAACUUGAACAAAUCACUACAUCACUAGAAUCUUGAACGUUACUUAUUUGUGCGCUAAUUAUUCUUAAUCUGGGUCCUUUUAAGAAGGUUGUCAAUUAGACUUUAUUGAAUUGUCAGUGCUCACAGCAGCAAAGGGAAUCUGGUAGCACGUGUAACCAUGUCACAGAUGGCUAAAUACUCUAUAUUCUGAAGGGGAAAAUGAAUUAAAUAUAGAUUCAAGUUACAGAAUGUGUGUGCGAUGUAGGUUUUUGUUUUUUGGUUUGUUUUUUUUUUCAGAGGAAACCACUGUUUACAAUUGACUGAAGAUGUCUCUGAGGAUCUCUUAUAUAUCAGCCUUUGGGAAGAGCUAUGAGCAAGUGGCUCAUCUAGUUUUCAAGGUUCACAUUGAAAUAGGUCUCUAGAUGGUGCAGAUCUUUCAUCUUUUGAGAACAUCUUAAGGCCACCUUACUGGUGUUUGUUUUCCCUUGCCAAAAGUUCAGAACCACUGCUUUCUACAGUAAAUUCAGUGAUAACAGCCUACCAGGUCAUGUCUUGAUGUUUUCACUCUUUUCACAUGGAUGUUAUCAAGCAGCAAUGAUGACAGUAGCCUC
ensembl:lncRNA